GGAUCCAGACUUUGAUUAUGGCUCAGGACGAACGCUGGCGGCGUGCCUAACACAUGCAAGUCGAACGGAACUUUUUUAAUUGACUUCUUCGGAAUGAUUUUGAUUAAGUUUAGUGGCGGACGGGUAAGUAACGCGUGAGUAACCUACCUCUAAGAGGGGAAUAACAUUCUGAAAAGAAUGCUAAUACCGCAUAAUAUAUAUUUAUCGCAUGGUAGAUAUAUCAAAGAUUUAUCGCUUAGAGAUGGACUCGCGUCCGAUUAGUUAGUUGGUGAGGUAACGGCUCACCAAGACCGCGAUCGGUAGCCGGACUGAGAGGUUGAACGGCCACAUUGGGACUGAGACACGGCUCAGACUCCUACGGGAGGCAGCAGUGGGGGAUAUUGCGCAAUGGGGGAAACCCUGACGCAGCAACGCCGCGUGAAGGAUGAAGGUCUUCGGAUUGUAAACUUCUUUUAUUAAGGACGAAGAAAGUGACGGUACUUAAUGAAUAAGCUCCGGCUAACUACGUGCCAGCAGCCGCGGUAAUACGUAGGGAGCAAGCGUUGUCCGGAUUUACUGGGUGUAAAGGGUGCGUAGGCGGCUUUGCAAGUCAGAUGUGAAAUCUAUGGGCUCAACCCAUAGCCUGCAUUUGAAACUGCAGAGCUUGAGUGAAGUAGAGGCAGGCGGAAUUCCCCGUGUAGCGGUGAAAUGCGUAGAGAUGGGGAGGAACACCAGUGGCGAAGGCGGCCUGCUGGGCUUUAACUGACGCUGAGGCACGAAAGCGUGGGUAGCAAACAGGAUUAGAUACCCUGGUAGUCCACGCUGUAAACGAUGAUUACUAGGUGUGGGGGGUCUGACCCCUUCCGUGCCGGAGUUAACACAAUAAGUAAUCCACCUGGGGAGUACGGCCGCAAGGUUGCAACUCAAAG
rnacentral:rRNA from 1 species